ensembl:lncRNA
GGAUAAGCCGAGUGCAAACAAGCGGCGGCCGCGGCGCAGCGGGUGGGGGCGGCGGGGGCAGCAUCGUUCCACUAAGGCUACUAGGAAGAAGGCAGUAUCAGCUGUGAAUGACACAAGAACAACUGGGGAAGAGGAUGAGAAAACUGUGAAAGAAUUGCUGGGGGAGAUGCCUGGGGACAUUGGCAGUGUUUUGAGCCAGCUUCUGAAGAAAACCUGGAGAAGUCUUACUGGAGCUGAAGUUGCUGCAUGAAGGAUAGAGGGAAACAAGGGUGGAUCCUCUUCCCCACAGUGAUGCCAUGAUAAAGGAUGACCAAUAGCUGUAAGGAGAAAGAACAUAUAAGGGACAAGCCGAGAUAACACUUAGUAAGGGAUGGAAAAUGCCAGGCCUUCGUAUGGUCUACUGACUCCCUGGCCAAGAUGUGUCCUGCAGCUGAUGUAUAGCCCUAAGCAGGAAACAGCCAGGGCAUGCAUUUCAUGAGUGGGGUAUAUGAGGCGGUACUUCAUCUCCAGGCCUCAGUGGAGGACACAGAGCAGAGGCAAUAUCAUGAGGGGACGUAGCAGGCAUAGACAUGAUUUUUCAUCAUGCUUGUUUACAGUGCGGCAGCUCGACUGGACUUGCUUAUUUAUGUUGAACUGCACAGUGUGCAAGCACUCAGCAAAGAGGCAGGUAUCCAAAACCAAGGUGUUAGUACAGGCUGCAAAUCAAGAGCACGGUGAACUGAACAUGGUCACAAACAGGCUUUAAUAUUGCACUGCAGAACAGUAACUCCCACACUAAAUGAAGAAAAGGGUUAAAUUUGUAGACGGCUGGCUUUGCAUAGUCUGGCUAGGCCCACCACACUGAUAUUUAUAAACUCUCAGUGGAUGACUGAGAGCACCUCCAGGCCUGCCGAGGGCAGACUAGCUCUCUAGCAACACACUGCAGGUGAAUUUAAGGGUGUGGUAAUUGAGCUGGGCUUGGGUCACCCAGUAGCAGUCUGAAGCCAGCCAGCCAUGCUAGGCAUAGCUCUACACUCCUGAACAAAGUGUUCCAUUAGGCCUGCUGGAGCCUGGGCAGCCUCCACUAGUCAGGCUUUCUCUUUCUGAAUUUUAUGCAAUGAAAAGAAUGGGAUAGGCAGGGUGUGCAAGGAGGAUUUUGUUCACUUCCAUAAAGAAUCCAGACUACAGCUAAGCAUCUGGAAACAUGCUUCUUGGGAUUUCAGUGUUGCAUCUAAAAUGCAAUGUUAUGACAGGGAGCAGAAGAAAAAAGGAUCAGUGACUUUGCAGAUGAAUGACCAACGUACUAACAUGACAAAAUGAGCUCUUGGUUUGCCAUAAAUACAUUAUCUAAGCUUUCAAGGGUUGAUCAGUAAGAAUGCAAAAUCUCUUUCAAAGGAUGUAGAUGAGAAGGAGGGGUACUCAUCAGAAUUAAAGAACAGCUUUUGCUAGACUGGUGUUCCUGGCAGGUUACACCUGCUUCCCACUCUGUGCCUUGCUGCCACUCUGUCUGGAGCAACGUGCUUCUAACAAUAGCUGGUAGCUGCAAGGUACAGAGUGUGCUACGCAGCUCGUUUCCUCUUCCUCCUGCCUGAUUGUUAUUGCAGAGCUCCCAGCAAGAAGGGCUCUUUAAUGCCAUUAAGUCACAAGAAACUGUGGCUUUGAUAGUGAGGAUCUGAUUUAAUGCAAUACCAAGUCAAAGAAAAACAUUUAAAGAGAGAAGAUGCCUUUCUCUAAGUGCUUUGUACUGUAAAGCUUCUGUAUAUACACAUACACUCACAUGCUCACACAUCCUGGAGGAGGUGCGUGUCCAGAAGGGAAAUCCUGCCUGCACCGGAGUUCAUGACAAAUGUUCCCACUGACCUUGGCAGGGCUGGGUUUCAGCCACUGUCUGUAUGUGGGGGACGGUGUGGAAGUGUUCAGGCAUGAUAUGUCUGUAUUUACUUGCUGUGAAAGACUGUGGGAGCCUGAACAUACUAGCAACGCACCAAAAUACAAAUGGAGAGUAAGAGAUUGUCCCCAGGACAAGGCCCAGGAGUGUUGCCAUGCCUUCCUGCACCACAUGUGAUCUCCUGCAGCUUUGUCUGUCUGCAGGUUGUGGGAGCACCCUAGGCAGUGACCUUACUCACCAUCAGAGUCUUGGCGGGGUCUUGGCUUGCUUGCUUGUUUUUGGCUUGGUGACUUUUUUGUGUGUGAUGCUUUCUUGUUUGUCUUUUUAACACAUAUUGGGGUUAGUCUAAAAAUUGCUCAACUGCCUUCAUUCUUCUGCUCUCAAAAUAGAUAGGACAGUUUUUGAGGGCCAAUUAGAAGGGCCAGCUGGCCCUUGAAUAACCAUAAUCCUGCAUUCAGUGAUUUCACUCUGCUUGAUUUUACCUUCAGAUAUGUUUUCAGUGUGGCAGAAGGACAAGAAACCUACAAGUAAUUUAGUGGUUAUGCACUUCAAAACUCCCAUUUUAAUGCUGAUUGUAAUUCUAUUCCACUGUUUUUUUCUAAAAUCUGUUUUGAAUUUGUGCACCUCUAAGCAUCAUUCAGUGAUAUUAUAGGUGGAAACAUAAGAUCCAGUAUAAUGAACACGAAUCCUGUUUUCCUGGAGACCUUUUAUAGAUCUACUGAAGGUAAUUCAGAGACUCACAGUUUAAAGACCUGCUUUAAUUUGUGUAGCUGUAAUGUGCCAAACUUGAGUGGCUAAUUUCGUAUCAGUCACUGAAUGCAGUGGGCCAGCCACAUGACUUCCUUAAUUUAAAAUGUGUUUUGUAUUUAUGGGUUCCUCCUGUUUGUAACUAUCAUUUUGUAACAGCUGCCCUGUGGUACAGCAAGCACCACAAAGCAGAAUCCCUAUGUCUGAAAGGCACUUCCUUCCCCCUUCAUCUUGACAGCACACAUCUGAGCCAAGGUUCCUCUGUGCAGAACCGGGUUGGUCCCAAUACUGGGGCUCUCACUCCUGCUGGAAAGCACUGCACAUCCAUGACUGGGACCAGAUUUGGGGCAGUAUGCCAAGUUCUUUUGAGGAUUUGGGCCUGGCUGUAAAUGUCACAGCUGGUGGCUUCCCACUGUUGAAAAUCUGCUGCAAUAUUAUGGAUGAUGAGCAUUUGGAAAAUCUGGUGCUGAAGACCAGCAGUCAAUAGGGUGAUGUAAAGGAGAGUGGGACAAGGCCCAGAGCUGCAGCACAGGAAAGCAGGAAUACAUUCAAAGUCAUAGACAUUGUCUGUGCAGGAUUCCAAAUACCUGGCAAAACCAAAGCAAAACAUGAGCAUUACUAAAAAACAUCAGGUAGACCUAUUUCUGCGUAGCAAGUAUAAAACCUUGAAUUACUUCCAAAAAAGAUCUGAAUUACCAUUACCAGUGCUCCUGCAGAAGCACUCUGAACUAAGAGCUUGAAGCCAGAGACUUCCAGUUACACUGGAAAAAUGCAUUCUCACUCCCAUGCGGAGUGGUGGCUCCUUGGACAUGUUCCACGUUUCUCUGGAAGAGCUGGCAAUAUCGUAAAUUCCAGAAGAAAAGCUGCUGAACUGCUUUAAGAUUAUUUUAAAGAUGUGUACAAACUACUUUCAGAAAAUUAUGAUCACUGUUUUUUUUUGUUGUUGUGAAUCUUCACGUUUACUCUUCCUUACAUACUAUUUACCUUCUCCCUUUGGAGCACCGUUGUAUAUGGAAACCUGCUCAGCACAACACAUAAACAGCUGUGGUAAGCAGUCUAUAAAGAUGUAAAGAGCAGUUGUUGUCACUGUACUAACAAAGCAGAUUUUAUCAAAUUUGCCUUCAAACCAGGCUCUCAGCUGCUCCCAAGCAUAUCGAGAUGACCCCUACAUGUGUUAGCAAUAUGCUACAAUGACAUACAUGUGUUCCUACGUAGCCUAUUCCAGCACAGGUUUCUUUGUUCACAAUCACAUUAUGCAUGUGUUUGUUAUUCAUGUUUCUGCUUCCACAACUUUCCUUUGAUGUAAGUACAAUACAACUUUUUCAUCGUUAUUUGAAACAGAAACGUCGGGACAAAAGGAGCAUCAAAUAUAGGAAGUACUGAGUUACAUUUUGCCAGUGGUUUAUACCUUUUCUGUAUGUUAAAGUCAUCAAUAACAUAUUUUCAGAAGAAAAAUGAAUGACUUGACUUUUGUUCAGACUACAGGCUUAGCGUAAAGGUCAGACUGUGAUGCCGUGACACAGUGACUGCUCAAAGUCUGCCGCAGAGAGUUUGUGUCAGGGGCAGGAGCAGAUUCACAUUGUCUUUAGCAGUGCCAGAGACAUUUUUUUCUGAAGAGAACAUUAGCUUUUAAGUCUCCUGCAAGUCCUCUGAAAAAUAAAUAUACAUCUUUGGAAAGUGACUGGAAAGAUGCUUACAUGAGAGCUGGAAAAGAUGCUCAAUAUCAAUCUGUACUUUCCUCUUUAAGUGUUUCUGAGCCACAUCUUCACCUGCAAUUAACUCACAUGGCGUAUGAAGAUACACUCCUCUGUGCUUAACCUUUAAACAAAAUUUCUCUGAUUAUUGGCCUUCAUUCCCAGUGUGACUGUGAGAAACGAGCAGGGCAGAUGGGAGCAGGCGUUCCCAGUUGAUGCUACAGAACAUUUCUGUGAUGAUUUAAAGCUGUGUUAAACAAUAGCUUGUUCACAUUCAAUUUCAGAGCAUCCCAAGAUGCUGUAUGAGGCAGGGAAGAGAACUGAAAUUGCUUUUGCGGAGAUGCUAGGCAUAAUUAAAGGCUCAUGUCUAGAUCUUACAGCUAACAAACUGCUGUACAACAAGGGAAGCAGCUCCCUAAGUAGUUUUUUACAAAACACUAAAUAUACUAUUGUAACAAUAAAACCUAACCAUCCAGCUGCCAGCACACUGUGUGCGUGUGGCACUGUGGACAUCAUGUCCACCCCCUCCCCUCAAAUCCAUCCCCUUCUGCUGUUGGAAAAUAGCAAAAGUCCUACCAGGAGCUACUGAGAAGUUUAAUAAAAAUAAAUUGGAGCUGCUUAAUCCACUUCUGCAAUCUGGCUGUACUUGUUCUGAAAAUCAGGACUGCACCUUUGGAAAAGUGCAGAUGUAAAUGUAAAGUGCAGAGUAAAGUGAGA